rnacentral:rRNA from 1 species
CCUACGGGAGGCAGCAGUGAGGAAUAUUGGUCAAUGGGCGCGAGCCUGAACCAGCCAAGCCGCGUGAGGGAAGACUGCCCUACGUGUUGUAAACUUCUUUUGUAAGGGAAUAAAGUCAGGGACUUGUCCCCGGUUGAGGGUACCUUACGAAUAAGCAUCGGCUAACUCCGUGCCAGCAGCCGCGGUAAUACGGAGGAUGCGAGCGUUAUCCGGAUUUCUUGGGUUUAAAGGGUGCGUAGGGGGGUUGUUAAGUUAGAUGUGAAAGUCCGGGGCUCCACCGCGGCAGUGCCGUUGAAACUGGCUGGCUGGAGUUGAGGUGAGGUAGGCGGAAUGCGCGGUGUAGCGGUGAAAUGCUUAGAUAUCACGCAGAACCCCGAUUGCGAAGGCAGCGUACCAAACUGACACUGACGGUGAGGCACGAAAGCGUGGGUAUCAAACAGGAUUAGAUACCCUAGUAGUC